rnacentral:rRNA from 1 species
AACGAACGCUGGCGGCAGGCCUAACACAUGCAAGUCGAACGCUGUAGCAAUACAGAGUGGCAGACGGGUGAGUAACACGUGGGAACCUACCUAUUGGUACGGAAUAGCUCAGGGAAACUUGAGGUAAUACCGUAUACGCCUUACGGGGAAAGAUUAUCGCCGAUAGAUGGGCCCGCGUCUGAUUAGCUAGUUGGUGAGGUAAUGGCUCACCAAGGCGACGAUCAGUAGCUGGUUUGAGAGAAUGACCAGCCACACUGGGACUGAGACACGGCCCAGACUCCUACGGGAGGCAGCAGUGGGGAAUCUUGGACAAUGGGCGCAAGCCUGAUCCAGCCAUGCCGCGUGAGUGACGAAGGCCUUAGGUGU